GCGAACUUCAGUCGAGGAGCCGAGGUAAGACUGUGGGGUCAAAGGUUGCUCGGGAGCAGUUGGCGUAAAGCGGGUGGAGGUGGCUUUGUAAGUCAGGAGUGAAAGCCCUAGGCUGAACCUAGGAAGUGCUUUUGAUACUGCGAAGCUUGAGGGUGGGAGAGGAUCGUGGAAUUCCAGGUGUAGUGGUGAAAUACGUAGAUAUCUGGAGGAACACCGGUGGCGAAGGCGGCGAUCUGGCCCAACACUGACACUCAGACCCGAAAGCGUGGGGAUCAAACAGGAUUAGAUACCCCAGUAGUC
rnacentral:rRNA from 1 species